UAGGGAAUCUUCGGCAAUGGACGAAAGUCUGACCGAGCAACGCCGCGUGAGUGAAGAAGGUUUUCGGAUCGUAAAACUCUGUUGGUAGAGAAGAACAAGGAUGAGAGUAACUGUUCAUCCCUUGACGGUAUCUAACCAGAAAGCCACGGCUAACUACGUGCCAG
rnacentral:rRNA from 1 species